GGCUGUGAUUUCUGAAGAACUAGUGCCCUGACUCACCUGCAGGACAUCUAGUAAUCCUGGGCAAAUAUCCAGACGCCUGAAAUUCUGCGUAGACACCAUUUUGCAGCAGAAGAGGAGGAACAAACUGUGGAAAACCCUGGGAAUCAGUGGCACCUACUGUGCGCUAGCUGCUCUGACUGUUUCACUUUGCUUCAGUUAAUCUAGAAGUGACUUUUCCUCUUCUGCUUUUCAUAGUCCUUUAGAAUAAAUAACAAAAAAACCCUCUUUCCACUGUCAUAUUGAAGCAUGUCUGAGAUUCAAGGCACCUCUCAGAAUGGCCUUUGCUGCAAGAGCAUCUGUUUGGAUGUUGAAGUUUUGGGACAUGGCACGAAAUUAGAAAUGGCAGCCACAAGACCUGUAGGGAGCAGAGCUGGUGUGCUGUGCUGCUCAGGGUUAGCAGCAAGGACCCCAAGUGACCUCCCUGCUGUCAGCACACGUGGCUGAGGGAGACAGCGAAGUUCACGUGAGAAGGUUCAGGGCAAAGUUGGGCCCAUGCUGAAGACUUCUGAAAAUGCUGCUCUGCAGUUGUGGAUCUGGUGCCAUCACCUCCUGUGAACUCACUGAUGUCUCACCACUGUAAGAGACAGCAAGAUCUGGCAGCUCUGCUCACCUCCAGUCCUCAGAAGUUGGCUUCCAUCAGGCAGGGCCACUGUGUCUUUGCUGAGUUCUGGCUCUGCUACACAUCAUGCAUGAGAAGGAUGGCUAAAGAAGGACAGGCAGAAUGAAAUUUCACUCAAAGCAGUUCAUUCAGUCAUCCCUGGAU